rnacentral:miRNA from 1 species
GCUGACACAUCCCGACCAAUCUCCAGCAGACCCUCCCUCCCAGACCCUCCUACUUCCUGGACAGCAUCCAUGUUGAAGGCAGCUUCAACAUGGAUGCUGUCCAGGAGGUGGGAGGGUCUGGGAGGGAGGGUCUGCCGGAGAUUGGCAGGGAUGUGUCAG